rnacentral:tRNA from 1 species
GUCAGGAUGGCCGAGCGGUCUAAGGCGCCAGACUCAAGGUACACCUUGCUCGUUAAAUACGGGCUUUGGGCGUUCUGGUCCUCUCUGAGGGCGUGGGUUCGAAUCCCACUUCUGACA